UACGUAGGGUGCAAGCGUUAAUCGGAAUACUGGGCGUAAAGCGUGCGCAGGCGGUUUUGUAAGUUUGUCGUGAAAUCCCCGGGCUCAACCUGGGAAUGGCGAUGAAGACUGCAAGGCUAGAAUCUGGCAGAGGGGGGGUAGAAUUCCACGUGUAGCAGUGAAAUGCGUAGAGAUGUGGAGGAACACCGAUGGCGAAGGCAGCCCCCCUGGGUCAAGAUUGACGCUCAUGCA
rnacentral:rRNA from 1 species